rnacentral:rRNA from 1 species
GUAGUCCACGCCCUAAACGAUGUCUACUAGUUGUCGGGGAUUAAUUUCCUUGGUAACGCAGCUAACGCGGGAAGUAGACCGCCUGGGGAGUACGGUCGCAAGAUUAAAACUCAAAGGAAUUGACGGGGACCCGCACAAGCGGUGGAUGAUGUGGAUUAAUUCGAUGCAACGCGAAAAACCUUACCUACGCUUGACCAUGUCUGGAAUCCCUGUAGAGAUGCGGGAGUGCUCGAAAGAGAGCCAGAACACAGGUGCUGCAUGGCUGUCGUCAGCUCGUGUCGUGAGAUGUUGGGUUAAG